rnacentral:rRNA from 1 species
UACAGAGGGGGCAAGCGUUGUUCGGAAUUACUGGGCGUAAAGCGCACGUAGGUGGCGACGUAAGUCGGGUGUGAAAGCCCCGGGCUCAACCUGGGAAUUGCAUUCGAGACUGCAUUGCUGGAGUACGGAAGAGGAAGGCGGAAUUCCCGGUGUAGCGGUGAAAUGCGUAGAUAUCGGGAGGAACAUCAGUGGCGAAGGCGGCCUUCUGGUCCAGUACUGACACUCAAGUGCGAAAGCGUGGGGAGCAGACGAAGG